rnacentral:rRNA from 1 species
GUUUGAUCAUGGCUCAGAUUGAACGCUGGCGGCAUGCCUUACACAUGCAAGUCGAACGGCAGCACGGGAGCAAUCCUGGUGGCGAGUGGCGAACGGGUGAGUAAUAUAUCGGAACGUGCCCAGUCGUGGGGGAUAACGCAGCGAAAGCCGUGCUAAUACCGCGUACGAUCUAUGGAUGAAAGCGGGGGACCGUAAGGCCUCGCGCGAUUGGAGCGGCCGAUAUCAGAUUAGCUUGUUGGUGGGGUAAAAGCCCACCAAGGCGACGAUCUGUAGCUGGUCUGAGAGGACGACCAGCCACACUGGAACUGAGACACGGUCCAGACUCCUACGGGAGGCAGCAGUGGGGAAUUUUGGACAAUGGGCGCAAGCCUGAUCCAGCAAUGCCGCGUGCAGGAUGAAGGCCUUCGGGUUGUAAACUGCUUUUGUACGGAACGAAACGGCUCUUUCUAAUAAAGAGGGCUAAUGACGGUACCGUAAGAAUAAGCACCGGCUAACUACGUGCCAGCAGCCGCGGUAAUACGUAGGGUGCGAGCGUUAAUCGGAAUUACUGGGCGUAAAGCGUGCGCAGGCGGUUAUAUAAGACAGAUGUGAAAUCCCCGGGCUCAACCUGGGACCUGCAUUUGUGACUGUAUAGCUAGAGUACGGUAGAGGGGGAUGGAAUUCCGCGUGUAGCAGUGAAGUGCGUAGAUAUGCGGAGGAACACCGAUGGCGAAAGCAAUCCCCUGGACCUGUACUGACGCUCAUGCACGAAAGCGUGGGGAGCAAACAGGAUUAGAUACCCUGGUAGUCCACGCCCUAAACGAUGUCAACUGGUUGUUGGGUCUUCACUGACUCAGUAACGAAGCUAACGCGUGAAGUUGACCGCCUGGGGAGUACGGUCGCAAGGUUGAACUCAAAGGAAUUGACGGGGACCCGCACA